rnacentral:tRNA from 1 species
UGGCGGCCAGGGCGGCGCUUUCGAUGCUUUCGGCAUGGUGGAGCAGCGCCUGGCCAUGGGCGGUCAGGGUGCGCUCCCCUGCCCCCAUC